rnacentral:rRNA from 1 species
GUGCCAGCAGCCGCGGUAAUACGAAGGGGGCUAGCGUUGCUCGGAAUCACUGGGCGUAAAGCGCACGUAGGCGGGUUGCCAAGUCGGGGGUGAAAUCCUGGAGCUCAACUCCAGAACUGCCUUCGAUACUGGCGAUCUUGGAGUCCGGGAGAGGUGAGUGGAACUGCGAGUGUAGAGGUGAAAUUCGUAGAUAUUCGCAAGAACACCAGUGGCGAAGGCGGCUCACUGGCCCGGUACUGACGCUGAGGUGCGAAAGCGUGGGGAGCAAACAGGAUUAGAAACCCGAGUAGUCC